rnacentral:rRNA from 1 species
UGGGGAAUUUUGGACAAUGGGGGCAACCCUGAUCCAGCCAUGCCGCGUGAGUGAAGAAGGCCUUCGGGUUGUAAAGCUCUUUCGGCCGGGAAGAUAUCGCACGGGCUAAUACCUUGUGCGGAUGACGGUACCAUCAGAAGAAGCACCGGCUAACUACGUGCCAGCAGCCGCGGUAAUACGUAGGGUUCGAGCGUUAAUCGGAAUUACUGGGCGUAAAGCGUGCGCAGGCGGUUAUGUAAGACAGAUGUGAAAUCCCCGGGCUCAACCUGGGAACUGCGUUUGUGACUGCAUAACUAGAGUACGGCAGAGGGAGGUGGAAUUCCGCGUGUAGCAGUGAAAUGCGUAGAGAUGUGGAGGAACACCGAUGGCGAAGGCAGCCCCCUGGGAUAACACUGACGCUCAUGCACGAAAGCGUGGGGAGCAAACA